GAUGAACGCUAGCGGCAGGCUUAAUACAUGCAAGUCGUGGGGCAGCAUGAGUGUAGCAAUACAUUUGAUGGCGACCGGCAAACGGGUGCGGAACACGUACACAACCUUCCUAUAAGUGGGGAAUAGCCCAGAGAAAUUUGGAUUAAUACCCCGUAACAUAACGAUAUGGCAUCACAUUGUUAUUAUAGCUUCGGCGCUUAUUGAUGGGUGUGCGGCUGAUUAGUUAGUUGGCGGGGUAACGGCCCACCAAGCCUACGAUCAGUAGCGGAUGUGAGAGCAUGAUCAGCCACACGGGCACUGAGACACGGGCCCGACUCCUACGGGAGGCAGCAGUAAGGAAUAUUGGUCAAUGGACGCAAGUCUGAACCAGCCAUGCCGCGUGAAGGAUUAAGGUCCUCUGGAUUGUAAACUUCUUUUAUCUGGGACGAAAAAAGGCUUUUCUAAGGCACUUGACGGUACCAGAUGAAUAAGCACCGGCUAACUCCGUGCCAGCAGCCGCAGUAAAAC
rnacentral:rRNA from 1 species